rnacentral:ribozyme from 1 species
UGCCCAGCAACUCUUAUUCCUACCUCCUCGUGGUACUGGCCAGGGUUCGAGUAACCUCAGGGAAGAUAUGGUAACCAAUUCCAGUGGAAACUUUGGUCGUAUGCUGACAGGGAAG